ensembl:lncRNA
GCUACUUCAAAAACCCCAGCUGCUCCAACAACAACCUCAGCUGCUCCCACAACAAUCACAGAAUCUCCCACAACAACCACAGCUGCUCCCACAACAACCACAGCUGCUCUCACAACAACCACAGCUGCUCCCACAACAACCACAGCUACUCCAACAACAACCACAGCCUAUCCCACAACAACCACAGCUGCUCCCACAACAACCACAGCUGCUCCUACAGCAACCACAGCUGCUCCAACAAAAACCACAUCAUCUACCACAAAAACCACAGAUGCACCCACAACAACAACAGCAUAUCCAACAACAACCACAACUAUUCCCACAACAACCACAGCUGCACCCACAACAACCACAGAUGUUCCAACAACAACCACAUCUGCUCCAUCAACAACCACAGUUUUUCCCACAACAACCA